rnacentral:rRNA from 1 species
UACAGAGGAUGCAAGCGUUAUCCGGAAUGAUUGGGCGUAAAGCGUCUGUAGGUGGCUUUUUAAGUCCGCCGUCAAAUCCCAGGGCUCAACUCUGGACAGGCGGUGGAAACUACCAAGCUGGAGUACGGUAGGGGCAGAGGGAAUUUCCGGUGGAGCGGUGAAAUGCGUAGAGAUCGGAAAGAACACCAACGGCGAAGGCGACCACCUGGACUGAUACUGACACUGAGGUGCGAAAGCGUGGGGAGCAAACAGG